rnacentral:tRNA from 1 species
AGAAGUUUAGGUUAAAUAGACCAAGAGCCUUCAAAGCCCUAAGUAGAUUAAUUUAUCUAACUUCUG